AUACGUAGGGGGCGAGCGUUGUCCGGAAUGAUUGGGCGUAAAGGGCGCGUAGGCGGCGCGGUAAGUCUGGAGUGAAAGUCCUGCUUUCAAGGUGGGAAUUGCUUUGGAUACUGCCGCGCUUGAGUGCAGGAGAGGUUAUCGGAAUUCCCGGUGUAGCGGUGAAAUGCGUAGAGAUCGGGAGGAACACCAGUGGCGAAGGCGGGUAACUGGACUGCAACUGACGCUGAGGCGCGAAAGUGUGGGGAGCAAACAGGAUUAGAUACCCUGGUAGUCCACACUGUAAACGAUGAAUGCUAGGUGUAAGAGGUAUCGACCCCUUUUGUGCCGGAGUCAACACAAUAAGCAUUCCACCUGGGGAGUACGGCCGCAAGGUUGAAACUCAAAUGAAUUGACGGGG
rnacentral:rRNA from 1 species